AUUGAACGCUGGCGGCAGGCCUAACACAUGCAAGUCGAACGGUAACAGGAAGCAGCUUGCUGCUUUGCUGACGAGUGGCGGACGGGUGAGUAAUGUCUGGGAAACUGCCCGAUGGAGGGGGAUAACUACUGGAAACGGUAGCUAAUACCGCAUAACGUCGCAAGACCAACGAGGGGGACCUUAGGGCCUCUUGCCAUCGGAUGUGCCCAGAUGGGAUUAGCUAGUAGGUGGGGUAACGGCUCACCUAGGCGACGAUCCCUAGCUGGUCUGAGAGGAUGACCAGCCACACUGGAACUGAGACACGGUCCAGACUCCUACGGGAGGCAGCAGUGGGGAAUAUUGCACAAUGGGCGCAAGCCUGAUGCAGCCAUGCCGCGUGUAUGAAGAAGGCCUUCGGGUUGUAAAGUACUUUCAGCGGGGAGGAAGGGAGUAAAGUUAAUACCUUUGCUCAUUGACGUUACCCGCAGAAGAAGCACCGGCUAACUCCGUG
rnacentral:rRNA from 1 species